rnacentral:lncRNA from 1 species
GCAGGGGGACAGCGGGGACACCAACGACAGCAGGGACAGAGGGACAUUGGGGACACAGGGACAUUGAGGACAGAAGGACAUUGGGGACAUUGGGGACAGAGGGACAUUUGGGACAUUGGGGACAUUGAGGACAGAAGGACAUUGGGGACACUGGGGACAGAAGGACAUUGGGGACACUGGGGUCACAGCGGGGUCCCGAGCAGUGUCCCCAUCCCCGUGUCCCAGUGAGGGCCGGGGCCACCGCGGAUCCCAAAGGGCUCCAGGACCCCAAAGGAUCCCAAAGGUCCCAGAGACCCCAAAGUGUCCCACAGACCCCCAAAAGAUUCCACAGACCCCAAAAGGCUCCACAGACCCCAAAGGGCUCCAGGACCCCAAAGGUCCCAGAGACCCCAAAGGGUCCCACAGACCCCAAAGUGUCCCAGAGACCCCAAAGGUCCCAGAGACCCCAAAAGGCUCCACAGACCCCAAAGGGCUCCACAGACCCCAAAGGAUCCCAAAGAUCCCACAGACCCCAAAGAUCCCACAGACCCCAAAGUGUCCCACAGACCCCAAAGGUCCCCCAGACCCCAAAAGGCUCCACAGACCCCCAAAAGGCUCCAGAGACCCUCAGUUUCUAUCGACCCCAAAAGGAUUUUAUGGCCCCUGAAGGGUUUUAGGGACCCCAAAAGUUCCCACAGCCCCCAAGGUUUUAUUGACCCCAAAAGAUCCCACGGACCCCUACGGGUUCUGCAGACCCCAAAAGGAUUUUAUGAACCCCAAAAAGGAUUUUAUAAAACCCAAAAAGGAUUUUAUGGACCCCAAAAAGGAUUUUAUGAACCCCAAAAAGGAUUUUAUGGAUCCCAAAAAUUUCUGGAGACCCCAAAGAUUUCCAGGGAUGGAUUUUGCAGCCCCAAAGGUCAAAGGUCAGCGGGGUUUUAUGGCUUUGGGGUUUUAUGGCUUUGGGGUUUAAUUGCUUUAGGGUUUAAUUCCUUUAGGGUUUUAUGGCUUUAGGGUUUAAUUGCUUUAGGGUUUAAUUGCUUUGGGGUUUAAUUGCUUUGGGGUUUAAUUGCUUUGGGGUUUUAUGGCUUUGGGGUUUAAUUGCUUUGGGGUUUAAUUGCUUUGGGGUUUAAUUGCUUUGGGGUUUAAUUCCUUUAGGGUUUAAUUGCUUUGGGGUUUAAUUGCUUUGGGGUUUAAUUGCUUUGGGGUUUAAUUGCUUUGGGGUUUUAUGUCUUUGGGGUUUUCUGGCCCCGGGGUUUUAUGGCCCCGGGUUUACACCCCGAUGUGUGAAAGUGCCUCCUGCCAUAAAGAUCUGGGAACUUUUAUGGGUUCGGCGCCUUCCUGGGGCAGCGAGGGCGGGGUGGGAUUGGGGCUGUGCCGGGAGCCCCCGACCCCAAAGCCACGGGACCCCUGACCCUAAAUAAAUAACCCCUGACCCCAUGGGAACCCA